rnacentral:rRNA from 1 species
AUAGCGUAUAUUAAAGUUGUUGCAGUUAAAAAGCUCGUAGUUGGAUUUCAAGGGACGCAGUAUGGAUUCAUGCUGCCCCCUACCAGUCUUUGACUGUUACCGUGAGAAAAUUAGAGUGUUUCAAGCAGGCUGUUGCAGGAAUACAUUAGCAUGGAAUAACGAAUGUGUCUAGAAUCUUGGUUAAUUCUAGAUUUCGAUUAAUAGGGACAGUUGGGGGCAUUAGUAUUUAAUUGUCAGAGGUGAAAUUCUUGGAUUUGUUAAAGACUAACGUAUG